rnacentral:sRNA from 1 species
CACCAACAAACACAGAGAAAGACAACACACAAACACUUUGGCCCUGCUGUGAGUGUAGAAACCAGGUAACCUGGCGACUCCCUUGGAUCCUACCAGUAUGGAGUUUAGCAAGUUUCAAUAGUGCAGAGUCCUCCUGACUCCCUCCAGGGGCCUGAAGUGUCCUCCAGAAUCCCCAGGGUCACAGAGUUAAGCCACAUCUGCCCUCUGCAAUUGACCCACACCAGGGUAGAGGCUUUCCAGCCAACACCAUGCUCAGGAGUCAAAAGUGAAAGCAAAAGACCAGAGACAAACAGCAGUAGGUGCCUGUUGCUGAGUUUGUCCUUUUGCACUCUGAUAGGUCUCCAGGGAUGGGGGCAGGGGUGUCUACCCAAAUUCAGGACGACCCUCCCACCCCACAACCCUCUUUCAGUGGUACUUACUUCGAGAUAACCCCGAGUGAGACACCGAGAUGCAGAUCAAUGGAAAAGCAAGAGGUUUAUUUUUCAUCACUUCAGGGUCAACCUUCAAUUAGUCCCUCAAGCAAGUGCAGACAGAGCUCAGCAGUUUGCAGUCCUCUGGUGAUCCCUGGAUGGAGUUUGCCAGCCACUUGAGAAUCUGCUGAGAUAUCAUAGACUCCCAGGGGCACAAGGUAUAAUUUCCUAGUAAUUGGAGAAGGAACAAUUGUGGGUCAAAAAUCUGCAGGUGGAUUGGUGUCCCCAUCCCUCCACUGGUGACCCUGUCUGACUACUAGAGGUGAGCACUUCCGGUCCCAUCUCCUCACUGGUGGGCAUUUGGGCCAAGGUCUCUCACAUCUCAGAUCUCUAGGACUUUCUAGGGGUUACCACCUUCCAUGAUGGCAUACCCCCCUCUCCCCGAGUGCCUCAACUCCCAUCACCCACCCCUGAGAACAGCAUGUUUCUAUUCAUUCUCCUGGCCCUC